CCUACGGGACGCAGCAGUGAGGAAUAUUGGUCAAUGCACGAGAGUCUGAACCAGCCAAGUAGCGUGAAGGAUGACUGCCCUAUGGGUUGUAAACUUCUUUUAUAUGGGAAUAAAAUGUUCCACGUGUGGGAUUUUGUAUGUACCAUAUCAAUAAGGAUCGGCUAACUCCGUGCCAGCAGCCGCGGUUAUACGGAGGAUCCGAGCGUUAUCCGGAUUUAUUGGGUUUAAAGGGAGCGUAGGUGGAUUGUUAAGUCAGUUGUGAAAGUUUGCUGCUCAACCGUAAAAUUGCAGUUGAAACUGGCAGUCUUGAGUACAGUAGAGGUGGGCGGAAUUCGUGGUGUAGCGGUGAAAUGCUGAGAUAUCACGAAGAACUCCGAUUGCGAAGGCAGUUCACUGGACUGCAACUGACACUGAGGCUCGAAAGUGUGGGUAUCAAACAGGAUUAGAUACCCGAGUAGUC
rnacentral:rRNA from 1 species